UGACAAACCGGAGGAAGGUGGGGAUGACGUCAAAUCAUCAUGCCCCUUAUGAUUUGGGCUACACACGUGCUACAAUGGACAAUACAAAGGGCAGCGAAACCGCGAGGUCAAGCAAAUCCCAUAAAGUUGUUCUCAGUUCGGAUUGUAGUCUGCAACUCGACUACAUGAAGCUGGAAUCGCUAGUAAUCGUAGAUCAGCAUGCUAC
rnacentral:rRNA from 1 species